AUUGAACGCUGGCGGAAUGCUUUACACAUGCAAGUCGAACGGCAGCACGGACUUCGGUCUGGUGGCGAGUGGCGAACGGGUGAGUAAUGUAUCGGAACGUGCCCAGUCGUGGGGGAUAACGUAGUGAAAAUUACGCUAAUACCGCAUACGAUCUAUGGAUGAAAGCGGGGGAUCGCAAGACCUCGCGCGAUUGGAGCGGCUGAUAUCAGAUUAGGUAGUUGGUGGGGUAAAGGCCCACCAAGCAAACGAUCUGUAGCUGGUCUGAGAGGACGACCAGCCACACUGGAACUGAGCGACGGUCCAGACUCCUACGGGAGGCAGCAGUGGGGAAUUUUGGGCAAUGGGCGAAAGCCUGAUCCAGCCAUUCCGCGUGCAGGAUGAAGGCCCUCGGGUUGUAAACUGCUUUUGUACAGAACGAAAAGGUUUCUACUAAUACUAGGAGCUCAUGACGGUACUGUAAGAAUAAGCACCGGCUAACUACGUGCCAGCAGCCGCCGUAA
rnacentral:rRNA from 1 species